rnacentral:tRNA from 1 species
UGGGGUAUAGCCAAGUGGUAAGGCAACGGUUUUUGAUAUCGUCAUUCGAAGGUUCGAAUCCUUCUGCCCCAA